GACGAACGCUGGCGGCGUGCCUAACACAUGCAAGUCGAACGAUGAACCAGGGCUUGCCCUGGGGAUUAGUGGCGAACGGGUGAGUAACACGUGGGCAACCUGCCCCAGACACCGGGAUAACCUCUCGAAAGAGUGGCUAAUACCGGAUACGACCACUUUGGGCAUCCAACGGUGGUGGAAAGGAUUCUGGUCUGGGAUGGGCCCGCGGCCUAUCAGCUUGUUGGUGGGGUAAUGGCCUACCAAGGCGACGACGGGUAGCCGGCCUGAGAGGGCGACCGGCCACACUGGGACUGAGACACGGCCCAGGCUCCUACGGGAGGCAGCAGUGGGGAAUAUUGCGCAAUGGGCGAAAGCCUGACGCAGCGACGCCGCGUGAGGGACGAAGGUCUUCGGAUUGUAAACCUCUUUCAGCAGGGACGAAGCGAAAGUGACUGUACCUGCAGAAGAAGCACCGGCUAACUACGUGCCAGCAGCCGCAGUAAUAC
rnacentral:rRNA from 1 species